rnacentral:lncRNA from 1 species
GCCGUCAGCCCCAGCUAGAGGUGACCAUAUAGAAACGAAGGGGUGAACUUGGAGUAGGUAGAAAGAAGGCUGCAUCCUGGUAUUCAGUGUCUACUCGUGCUCGAAUGCUCCGGGAAGACGGAGAGGAUACAAUGGGGAUGGACCCAGCGGCUCCAUGAGAGCCUCCUCCGGGAACUGUGGUUAACGCCCCCCGCAGUGUACGUGAACCCUCAGUAUUGGAACACGAUGGAUUAUUCCAGAACGACCGCCUCCUACCCUCUAAUGGUACCUUCCGAGUGAAUGGUCUUACCUCCGGCCCUGUCAGUGGGAAUGUGAGAGUUCCAUUCCAUACAUCAGGAGUCAAGCAGGGUGUUUGAUCCAGAGACACAGAAACAUAUCCUGACGGCACAGGAAGAAGAAGGAGGAGGAGGAAGAAGAAGAAGGGAAGGAGAAGAAGAGAGAACUGGGCUGGUGAAAAUUUGGAAGUCUGACUCUGGGACUUCCAAGCAUAACCACCAAAAUAUAUCAUUCCCUGAAUGUUGCUGUAGCUUCUUCACAGGCCUCCCUGACUCUUGCUCUUAUCCCCAGCCAAUCCAUCUUCCCUGCCCACUGUUGGAGGAAUCCUUCUAAACUGCAAAAUAGGCCUUAUGAUCCCCUUUCUUGAAAAGUAAAAAGGAAAUGAAGGAGGAGGAGGAGAAGAGAAAAAAAUUUCCUUAGUGUCCCAGUCCCCUAAGGGAUAAAGUCUCAUCUUCUUAACCCAGCACCCUAGGAUUUCUGUGUGACAUAUUCUUUGCCUCACUAAUUUACUCUACAACUUUAUUUCCCCCCCCUCCACCUCUAAAUGCAGUGCCCUCUGACCCAGACUUCCCAAAAUGGUAGAAGUUCCUGGCUCCUCACCGUGUUCUCCCCCUGCCCCUCUCUCUCUCAUAGGAUAAUAGGGUGAAAAGGUAAUAGGGUGAAAAGGAUGGGAAGGAGGAUGCAAAUAAGGUACAGGGCAUGGGAGAGUGACAUUUCUCUGGGUAUAAUUUUUUGUAUGGUUUUGACUCUUAAAAUCAUGUUACCCUCCUACACUGUUGGUAGGAAUGUAAAUUGGUGCAGCCAUUAUGGAUAACAGCAUGGAGGUUCCUUAAAAAACUAAAAAUGGAGUUACCGUAUCAUCCAGCAAUCCUACUCUUGGGCAUAUAUCCAGAAAGGAUGAAAACUCUAAUUCGAUGAGUUCCUGUCAUGGCACAGUGGAAACGAAUCCCACUAGGAACCAUGAGGUUUCGGGUUCAAUCCCUGGCCUUGAUCAGUGGGUUAAGGAUCUGGCAUUGCCGUGAGCUGUGGUGUAGGUCGCAGACAUGGCUCAGAUCUGGCGUUGCUGUGGCUGUGGCGUAGGCCGGCAGCUGUAGCUCCGAUUGGACCCCUAGCCUGGGAACCUCCAUAUGCCGAGGGUGCAGCCCUAAAAAGCAAAAACAAAAACAAAAAACCCCUCUAUUUCGAAAAUGCACCCCAAUGUUCAUAGCAGCACUAUUUACAAUAGCCAAGACAUGGGAGCAACCUACAUGUCCACUGAGAUGAAUGGAUAAAGAAGAUGUGGUACAUAUAUAUACAAUGGAAUACUACUCAGCCACAAAAAGGAAUGAAAUAAUGCCAUUUGUGGCAACAUAGGUGGACCUAGAGAUGAUCAUACUAAAUAAAGCAAGCCAGACAGAGAAAGACAAAUGCUGUAUGAUAUCACUUAUAUGUGGAAUCUAAAAAA